CCUACGGGAGGCAGCAGUGGGGAAUUUUGGACAAUGGGGGCAACCCUGAUCCAGCCAUUCCGCGUGAGUGAAGAAGGCCUUCGGGUUGUAAAGCUCUUUCGCAAGGGAAGAAAACUUAUGAUCGAAUAAAUCAUGAGGUUGACGGUACCUUGAUAAGAAGCACCGGCUAACUACGUGCCAGCAGCCGCGGUAAUACGUAGGGUGCGAGCGUUAAUCGGAAUUACUGGGCGUAAAGCGUGCGCAGGCGGUUUUGUAAGUCGGAUGUGAAAUCCCCGGGCUCAACCUGGGAACUGCGUUCGAAACUGCAAGGCUAGAGUGUGUCAGAGGGGGGUAGAAUUCCACGUGUAGCAGUGAAAUGCGUAGAGAUGUGGAGGAAUACCAAUGGCGAAGGCAGCCCCCUGGGAUAACACUGACGCUCAUGCACGAAAGCGUGGGGAGCAAACAGGAUUAGAUACCCUGGUAGUCCACGCCCUAAACGAUGUCAACUAGUUGUUGGUAGAGUAAAAUCUAUGAGUAACGUAGCUAACGCGUGAAGUUGACCGCCUGGGGAGUACGGUCGCAAGNUUAAAACUCAAAGGAAUUGACGGCUGAGACGNGCGAGACGACGACGAGGGAGAGG
rnacentral:rRNA from 1 species